UACAGAGGGUGCAAGCGUUUGUUCGGAAUUAUUGGGCGUAAAGAGCUCGUAGGCGGUCUGUCGCGUCUGCUGUGAAAACUCAGGGCUUAACCCUGAGCUUGCAGUGGGUACGGGCAGACUAGAGUGCGGUAGGGGAGACUGGAAUUCCUGGUGUAGCGGUGAAAUGCGCAGAUAUCAGGAGGAACACCGGUGGCGAAGGCGGGUCUCUGGGCCGGUAACUGACGCUGGAGGAG
rnacentral:rRNA from 1 species